rnacentral:tRNA from 1 species
AGCUAAACACCUUGAAAGUAUUAUAUUUUGAAAAUAUAAGUUAGGAGUUAAAAUCUCCUUUUAGCUU